ACGCCCCGCAAGGGGAGUGGCAGACGGGUGAGUAACGCGUGGGAUUCUACCCAAUUCUUCGGAACAACUGAGGGAAACUUCAGCUAAUACCGGAUACGCCCUACGGGGGAAAGAUUUAUCGGAAUUGGAUGAGCCCGCGUUGGAUUAGCUAGUUGGUGAGGUAAUGGCUCACCAAGGCGACGAUCCAUAGCUGGUCUGAGAGGAUGAUCAGCCACACUGGGACUGAGACACGGCCCAGACUCCUACGGGAGGCAGCAGUGGGGAAUAUUGGACAAUGGGCGAAAGCCUGAUCCAGCCAUGCCGCGUGAGUGAUGAAGGCCUUAGGGUUGCAAAGCUCUUUCAGUAGGGACGAUAAUGACGGUACCUACAGAAGAAGCCCCGGCUAACUUCGUGCCAGCAGCCGCGGUAAUACGAAGGGGGCUAGCGUUGUUCGGAUUUACUGGGCGUAAAGCGCACGUAGGCGGAUCGUUAAGUCGGGGGUGAAAUCCUGGAGCUCAACUCCAGAACUGCCUUCGAUACUGGCGAUCUUGAGUCCGGAAGAGGUGAGUGGAACUCCUAGUGUAGAGGUGGAAUUCGU
rnacentral:rRNA from 1 species